CGUACCCUGCGAUGCCCGUGUGUCACUUUAGUCCUUUGAGCCUAUAAGUAAAUCUACCGGGGACCUAAUGUCGAUGCUGUUGUGCAUGUCCGCCCUGUAGCGGAAAGCCUGAUGCAUCCCUGUGGUGCCCACCUUGAACCUUGGUUCAAGGCG
rnacentral:other from 1 species